rnacentral:rRNA from 1 species
AGCGAACGCUGGCGGCAGGCCUAACACAUGCAAGUCGAGCGCCCCGCAAGGGGAGCGGCAGACGGGAGAGUAACACGUGGGAACGUGCCCUUCAGUUCGGAACAACCCAGGGAAACUUGGGCUAAUACCGGAUACGUCCGAAAGGAGAAAGAUUUAUCGCUGAAGGAGCGGCCCGCGUCUGAUUAGCUAGUUGGUGAGGUAACGGCUCACCAAGGCGACGAUCAGUAGCUGGUCUGAGAGGAUGAUCAGCCUCACUGGGACUGAGACACGGCCCAGACUCCUACGGGAGGCAGCAGUGGGGAAUAUUGGACAAUGGGCGCAAGCCUGAUCCAGCCAUGCCGCGUGGGUGAUGAAGGCCCUAGGGUUGUAAAGCCCUUUCGGCGGGGAAGAUAAUGACGGUACCCGCAGAAGAAGCCCCGGCUAACUUCGUGCCAGCCGCCGCGGUAACAC